rnacentral:rRNA from 1 species
UACGUAGGGGGCAAGCGUUGUCCGGAUUUAUUGGGCGUAAAGAGCGUGUAGGCGGUCAGGUAGGUCCGUUGUGAAAACUCGAGGCUCAACCUCGAGACGCCGAUGGAAACCAUCUGACUAGAGUCCGGAAGAGGAGAGUGGAAUUCCUGGUGUAGCGGUGAAAUGCGUAGAUAUCGUAAGGAAGACCAGUGGCGAAGGCGGGUCUCUGGACAGUUCCUGACGCUGAGGCACGAAGGUCAGGGGAGCAAACGGG